GCCGACGUAGCUCAGUUGGUAGAGCACCGCUCUGGUAAUGCGGAGGUCCGCGGUUCGAUCCCGCGCGUCGGCUCUA
rnacentral:tRNA from 1 species